AGAGUUUGAUCAUGGCUCAGAUUGAACGCUGGCGGCAGGCCUAACACAUGCAAGUCGAACGGUAACAGGAAGCAGCUUGCUGCUUCGCUGACGAGUGGCGGACGGGUGAGUAAUGUCUGGGAAACUGCCUGAUGGAGGGGGAUAACUACUGGAAACGGUAGCUAAUACCGCAUAAUGUCGCAAGACCAAAGAGGGGGACCUUCGGGCCUCUUGCCAUCGGAUGUGCCCAGAUGGGAUUAGCUUGUUGGUGGGGUAACGGCUCACCAAGGCGACGAUCCCUAGCUGGUCUGAGAGGAUGACCAGCCACACUGGAACUGAGACACGGUCCAGACUCCUACGGGAGGCAGCAGUGGGGAAUAUUGCACAAUGGGCGCAAGCCUGAUGCAGCCAUGCCGCGUGUAUGAAGAAGGCCUUCGGGUUGUAAAGUACUUUCAGCGGGGAGGAAGGGAGUAAAGUUAAUACCUUUGCUCAUUGACGUUACCCGCAGAAGAAGCACCGGCUAACUCCGUGCCAGCAGCCGCGGUAAUACGGAGGGUGCAAGCGUUAAUCGGAAUUACUGGGCGUAAAGCGCACGCAGGCGGUUUGUUAAGUCAGAUGUGAAAUCCCCGGGCUCAACCUGGGAACUGCAUCUGAUACUGGCAAGCUUGAGUCUCGUAGAGGGGGGUAGAAUUCCAGGUGUAGCGGUGAAAUGCGUAGAGAUCUGGAGGAAUACCGGUGGCGAAGGCGGCCCCCUGGACGAAGACUGACGCUCAGGUGCGAAAGCGUGGGGAGCAAACAGGAUUAGAUACCCUGGUAGUCCACGCCGUAAACGAUGUCGACUUGGAGGUUGUGCCCUUGAGGCGUGGCUUCCGGAGCUAACGCGUUAAGUCGACCGCCUGGGGAGUACGGCCGCAAGGUUAAAACUCAAAUGAAUUGACGGGGGCCCGCACAAGCGGUGGAGCAUGUGGUUUAAUUCGAUGCAACGCGAAGAACCUUACCUGGUCUUGACAUCCACAGAACUUUCCAGAGAUGAAAAGGUGCCUUCGGGAACCGUGAGACAGGUGCUGCAUGGCUGUCGUCAGCUCGUGUUGUGAAAUGUUGGGUUAAGUCCCGCAACGAGCGCAACCCUUAUCCUUUGUUGCCAGCGGUCCGGCCGGGAACUCAAAGGAGACUGCCAGUGAUAAACUGGAGGAAGGUGGGGAUGACGUCAAGUCAUCAUGGCCCUUACGACCAGGGCUACACACGUGCUACAAUGGCGCAUACAAAGAGAAGCGACCUCGCGAGAGCAAGCGGACCUCAUAAAGUGCGUCGUAGUCCGGAUUGGAGUCUGCAACUCGACUCCAUGAAGUCGGAAUCGCUAGUAAUCGUGGAUCAGAAUGCCACGGUGAAUACGUUCCCGGGCCUUGUACACACCGCCCGUCACACCAUGGGAGUGGGUUGCAAAAGAAGUAGGUAGCUUAACCUUCGGGAGGGCGCUUACCACUUUGUGAUUCAUGACUGGGGUGAAGUCGUAACAAGGUAACCGUAGGGGAACCUGCGGUUGGAUCACCU
rnacentral:rRNA from 2 species